GACGAACCGUGCGAACGUUAUUCGGAAUCACUGGGCUUAAAGCGCGUGUAGGCGGAUCGUUAAGUACCUUGUGAAAUCCCACGGCUUAACCGUGGAACUGCUGGGUAUACUGGCGAUCUUGAGCCACCUAGGGGCAACCGGAACAAAUGGUGGAGCGGUGAAAUGCGUAGAUAUCAUUUGGAACGCCAAUGGUGAAAACAGGUUGCUGGGGGUGUGCUGACGCUGAGACACGAAAGCCAGGGGAGCGAACGGG
rnacentral:rRNA from 1 species